AGUGAACGCUGGCGGUAGGCCUAACACAUGCAAGUCGAACGGCAGCACAGUAAGAGCUUGCUCUUACGGGUGGCGAGUGGCGGACGGGUGAGGAAUACAUCGGAAUCUACUUUUUCGUGGGGGAUAACGUAGGGAAACUUACGCUAAUACCGCAUACGACCUACGGGUGAAAGCAGGGGAUCUUCGGACCUUGCGCGAUUGAAUGGGCCGAUGUCGGAUUAGCUAGUUGGCGGGGUAAAGGCCCACCAAGGCGACGAUCCGUAGCUGGUCUGAGAGGAUGAUCAGCCACACUGGAACUGAGACACGGUCCAGACUCCUACGGGAGGCAGCAGUGGGGAAUAUUGGACAAUGGGCGCAAGCCUGAUCCAGCCAUACCGCGUGGGUGAAGAAGGCCUUCGGGUUGUAAAGCCCUUUUGUUGGGAAAGAAAAGCAGAAGGUUAAUACCCCGCUGUUCUGACGGUACCCAAAGAAUAAGCACCGGCUAACUUCGUG
rnacentral:rRNA from 1 species